rnacentral:tRNA from 1 species
GCCGAGGUGGUGGAAUUGGUAGACACGCUAUCUUGAGGGGGUAGUGCCUUUAUAGGCGUGCGGGUUCAAGUCCCGCUCUCGGCA